rnacentral:piRNA from 1 species
GAGGCUGCCAGACAGGGAGGAGGG